rnacentral:rRNA from 1 species
UACGUAGGGAGCAAGCGUUGUCCGGAUUUACUGGGUGUAAAGGGUGCGUAGGCGGCUUUGCAAGUCAGAUGUGAAAUCUAUGGGCUCAACCCAUAAACUGCAUUUGAAACUGUAGAGCUUGAGUGAAGUAGAGGCAGGCGGAAUUCCCCGUGUAGCGGUGAAAUGCGUAGAGAUGGGGAGGAACACCAGUGGCGAAGGCGGCCUGCUGGGCUUUAACUGACGCUGAGGCACGAAAGCGUGGGUAGCAAAC